CCUACGGGAGGCUGCAGUGGGGAAUAUUGGACAAUGGGCGAAAGCCUGAUCCAGCCAUGCCGCGUGUGUGAAGAAGGUCUUCGGAUUGUAAAGCACUUUAAGUUGGGAGGAAGGGUACUUACCUAAUACGUGAGUAUUUUGACGUUACCGACAGAAUAAGCACCGGCUAACUCUGUGCCAGCAGCCGCGGUAAUACAGAGGGUGCAAGCGUUAAUCGGAAUUACUGGGCGUAAAGCGCGCGUAGGUGGUUCGUUAAGUUGAAUGUGAAAUCCCCGGGCUCAACCUGGGAACUGCAUCCAAAACUGGCGAGCUAGAGUAUGGUAGAGGGUGGUGGAAUUUCCUGUGUAGCGGUGAAAUGCGUAGAUAUAGGAAGGAACACCAGUGGCGAAGGCGACCACCUGGACUGAUACUGACACUGAGGUGCGAAAGCGUGGGGAGCAAACAGGAUUAGAUACCCUUGUAGUC
rnacentral:rRNA from 1 species